rnacentral:sRNA from 1 species
UCCCAGCCCUGAUCACAGCGGCAUCCUUUUGCGUAACGGCGUGAAGCAAAAGAUACAGCGGAGAGCAGGUUCCCGG